rnacentral:rRNA from 1 species
AGUGGGGAAUCUUGCGCAAUGGGCGAAAGCCUGACGCAGCCAUGCCGCGUGUAUGAUGAAGGUCUUAGGAUUGUAAAAUACUUUCACCGGGGAAGAUAAUGACGGUACCCGGAGAAGAAGCCCCGGCUAACUUCGUGCCAGCAGCCGCGGUAAUACGAAGGGGGCUAGCGUUGCUCGGAAUUACUGGGCGUAAAGGGCGCGUAGGCGGAUAGUUUAGUCAGAGGUGAAAGCCCAGGGCUCAACCUUGGAAUUGCCUUUGAUACUGGCUAUCUUGAGUUCGGGAGAGGUGAGUGGAAUGCCGAGUGUAGAGGUGAAAUUCGUAGAUAUUCGGCGGAACACCAGUGGCGAAGGCGACUCACUGGCCCGAUACUGACGCUGAGGCGCGAAAGCGUGGGGAGCAAA